AGAUUAAGUUAUUAAGGGCGCACGGUGGAUGCCUUGGCACUAGAAGCCGAUGAAGGACGUUACUAACGACGAUAUGCUUUGGGGAGCUGUAAGUAAGCUUUGAUCCAGAGAUUUCCGAAUGGGGAAACCCAGCAUGAGUUAUGUCAUGUUAUCGAUAUGUGAAUACAUAGCAUAUCAGAAGGCACACCCGGAGAACUGAAACAUCUUAGUACCCGGAGGAAGAGAAAGAAAAUUCGAUUCCCUUAGUAGCGGCGAGCGAAACGGGAAGAGCCCAAACCAACAAGCUUGCUUGUUGGGGUUGUAGGACACUCUAUACGGAGUUACAAAGGACGACAUUAGACGAAUCAUCUGGAAAGAUGAAUCAAAGAAGGUAAUAAUCCUGUAGUCGAAAAUGUUGUCUCUCUUGAGUGGAUCCUGAGUACGACGGAGCACGUGAAAUUCCGUCGGAAUCUGGGAGGACCAUCUCCUAAGGCUAAAUACUCUCUAGUGACCGAUAGUGAACCAGUACCGUGAGGGAAAGGUGAAAAGCACCCCGGAAGGGGAGUGAAAUAGAACCUGAAACCGUGUGCUUACAAGUAGUCAGAGCCCGUUAAUGGGUGAUGGCGUGCCUUUUGUAGAAUGAACCGGCGAGUUACGAUUUGAUGCAAGGUUAAGCAGUAAAUGUGGAGCCGUAGCGAAAGCGAGUCUGAAUAGGGCGUUUAGUAUUUGGUCGUAGACCCGAAACCAGGUGAUCUACCCUUGGUCAGGUUGAAGUUCAGGUAACACUGAAUGGAGGACCGAACCGACUUACGUUGAAAAGUGAGCGGAUGAACUGAGGGUAGCGGAGAAAUUCCAAUCGAACCUGGAGAUAGCUGGUUCUCUCCGAAAUAGCUUUAGGGCUAGCCUCAAGUGAUGAUUAUUGGAGGUAGAGCACUGUUUGGACGAGGGGCCCCUCUCGGGUUACCGAAUUCAGACAAACUCCGAAUGCCAAUUAAUUUAACUUGGGAGUCAGAACAUGGGUGAUAAGGUCCGUGUUCGAAAGGGAAACAGCCCAGACCACCAGCUAAGGUCCCAAAAUAUAUGUUAAGUGGAAAAGGAUGUGGCGUUGCCCAGACAACUAGGAUGUUGGCUUAGAAGCAGCCAUCAUUUAAAGAGUGCGUAAUAGCUCACUAGUCGAGUGACACUGCGCCGAAAAUGUACCGGGGCUAAACAUAUUACCGAAGCUGUGGAUUGUCCUUUGGACAAUGGUAGGAGAGCGUUCUAAGGGCGUUGAAGCAUGAUCGUAAGGACAUGUGGAGCGCUUAGAAGUGAGAAUGCCGGUGUGAGUAGCGAAAGACGGGUGAGAAUCCCGUCCACCGAUUGACUAAGGUUUCCAGAGGAAGGCUCGUCCGCUCUGGGUUAGUCGGGUCCUAAGCUGAGGCCGACAGGCGUAGGCGAUGGAUAACAGGUUGAUAUUCCUGUACCACCUAUAAUCGUUUUAAUCGAUGGGGGGACGCAGUAGGAUAGGCGAAGCGUGCGAUUGGAUUGCACGUCUAAGCAGUAAGGCUGAGUAUUAGGCAAAUCCGGUACUCGUUAAGGCUGAGCUGUGAUGGGGAGAAGACAUUGUGUCUUCGAGUCGUUGAUUUCACACUGCCGAGAAAAGCCUCUAGAUAGAAAAUAGGUGCCCGUACCGCAAACCGACACAGGUAGUCAAGAUGAGAAUUCUAAGGUGAGCGAGCGAACUCUCGUUAAGGAACUCGGCAAAAUGACCCCGUAACUUCGGGAGAAGGGGUGCUCUUUAGGGUUAACGCCCAGAAGAGCCGCAGUGAAUAGGCCCAAGCGACUGUUUAUCAAAAACACAGGUCUCUGCUAAACCGUAAGGUGAUGUAUAGGGGCUGACGCCUGCCCGGUGCUGGAAGGUUAAGAGGAGUGGUUAGCUUCUGCGAAGCUACGAAUCGAAGCCCCAGUAAACGGCGGCCGUAACUAUAACGGUCCUAAGGUAGCGAAAUUCCUUGUCGGGUAAGUUCCGACCCGCACGAAAGGCGUAACGAUUUGGGCACUGUCUCAACGAGAGACUCGGUGAAAUCAUAGUACCUGUGAAGAUGCAGGUUACCCGCGACAGGACGGAAAGACCCCGUGGAGCUUUACUGUAGCCUGAUAUUGAAAUUCGGCACAGCUUGUACAGGAUAGGUAGGAGCCUUUGAAACGUGAGCGCUAGCUUACGUGGAGGCGCUGGUGGGAUACUACCCUAGCUGUGUUGGCUUUCUAACCCGCACCACUUAUCGUGGUGGGAGACAGUGUCAGGCGGGCAGUUUGACUGGGGCGGUCGCCUCCUAAAAGGUAACGGAGGCGCUCAAAGGUUCCCUCAGAAUGGUUGGAAAUCAUUCAUAGAGUGUAAAGGCAUAAGGGAGCUUGACUGCGAGACCUACAAGUCGAGCAGGGUCGAAAGACGGACUUAGUGAUCCGGUGGUUCCGCAUGGAAGGGCCAUCGCUCAACGGAUAAAAGCUACCCCGGGGAUAACAGGCUUAUCUCCCCCAAGAGUUCACAUCGACGGGGAGGUUUGGCACCUCGAUGUCGGCUCAUCGCAUCCUGGGGCUGUAGUCGGUCCCAAGGGUUGGGCUGUUCGCCCAUUAAAGCGGUACGCGAGCUGGGUUCAGAACGUCGUGAGACAGUUCGGUCCCUAUCCGUCGUGGGCGUAGGAAAUUUGAGAGGAGCUGUCCUUAGUACGAGAGGACCGGGAUGGACAUACCUCUGGUGUACCAGUUGUCGUGCCAACGGCAUAGCUGGGUAGCUAUGUGUGGACGGGAUAAGUGCUGAAAGCAUCUAAGCAUGAAGCCCCCCUCAAGAUGAGAUUUCCCAACUUCGGUUAUAAGAUCCCUCAAAGAUGAUGAGGUUAAUAGGUUCGAGGUGGAAGCAUGGUGACAUGUGGAGCUGACGAAUACUAAUCGAUUGAAGACUUAAUCAAAA
rnacentral:rRNA from 1 species